UACGAAGGGGGCUAGCGUUGUUCGGAAUCACUGGGCGUAAAGGGCGCGUAGGCGGCUUUAUAAGUCGGGGGUGAAAGCCUGUGGCUCAACCACAGAAUUGCCUUCGAUACUGUAGAGCUUGAGACCGGAAGAGGUAAGUGGAACUGCGAGUGUAGAGGUGAAAUUCGUAGAUAUUCGCAAGAACACCAGUGGCGAAGGCGGCUUACUGGGCCGACACUGACGCUGAGGUGCGAAAGCGUGGGGAGCAAACAGG
rnacentral:rRNA from 1 species